UCUAUUAUUUUAGUGUGGACAGUUCAAUUACAUUAGCGCUUGCUGUGUUUGACUGUUUUAAUGUAACAAUAUAAAAAGAGAAAACCUUUAACAAUGGAUCUCUUGGCUCUUGCAACGAUGAAGAACGCAGUAAAGUGCGAUAUCUAGUGCGAUUUGCAUGAAUCUGUGAGUCAUCGAGUUUUUGAACGCAACUUGCGCCCGAUUUACAUUGGGCAUGUCUGUUUGAGCACCGCAACCACAACUAGAAGCGUAUUUUUUUUAAAUAUGAUUCUGAUUUGGCUGAAUUACGAUUCAGCUGGAAUGCAGCAGGUCAAGACAGUGUUUACUAAUAUUGGUAAUGCUCUCACAAAAGCUUUGCUUGGUCUUGUGCGCUAUAAUCUAGCAAUAGAUUGGUCAUAAUACUAGUGCAAACUUUUUCUUUUGGUCUCAAAUCAGGCAAGAUCACCCGCUGAACUUAAGCAUAUCAAUAAGCGGAGGAA
rnacentral:sRNA from 1 species